GUGGUCACAGCAGCUUUAUUUGUAAUAGCUCCAAACUGGAAACCAUUCAGUAAUUCAUCAACAUAGGAGGAGGGGUGACUGCAGUCUCUGCAAACCAGCAGACUUAGCCUCUCCUCUUGGUAGUUCUGAGGAAUCCAGGCAGCCCAGAUGAGUGGGUUUCCCUUCAGCAAAACAUACCCUCUCCACCAAGGGACAAAGUGCUUCUUUAAAUGGGUCUGGCUCCCUGUGCCACCCAACUGGGUGAGACCCUCUAACAGGGGUUGUUAGACAUUCUAUACAGGAGCCAAUACAUUGUUAUUAACUAUAGUUUCCCUCUGUGCUAUUGAACAUUAGAACUUACACCUUCUAUCUAACUGUUUGUUUGUACCCAUUAUGCUGCCUCUCUUCAUGUCCUCUAUCACUACCACACACCCUUCCCUGCCUCUGGUAACUUUCAUUCUACUCUCCACAACUAGAAAGAAAUAAACUUUUAAUAACCUCUGAGAUAUGGGAUUAUGGAUAAUUUUUACCUUUUUAUUAAGGCCUUUCUCUAUUUUUUCCAUUUUUCUAUAGUGUGACAUUGCUUUUAUAAUCAAGGGGGAAAUAACACAUUUUGAAAAGGUUAAGCCAAACAAAAGGCAGCAGAAACCUCUGCAGACUUAAAUAUCCCUGUCUGACAGCUUUGAAGAGAGUAGUGGUUCUCCCAGGCGAACAUUUGGCAGGGGAGAAUGGAAAAAUGUGUCAGAGAGCUCAUCUAUUAAUUUCAAUUCUGAGAUACUAAGACUUAAAUUAUGUAAUACAUUCUCACAACUCAACACCAAUUAAAUUACAGACUGCCAAAGUGUUAAAACCAAGCAGUUCCUCUUUCAUUGCUCAGACAUCGUUUUCAAAUUCUUUUCAUCUUGGGGUUAGCCAGAGGAAAUCCCUUCAAGGCCAUUGCCAUCCAUUCCUCUCCCCCACCACACUAAGG
rnacentral:lncRNA from 1 species